CAUUUACACAGUUUUUUAGCAGUACUUUUUAUGGAUUUUUUUUUAUUUAUAUCAAAAAAUCUUAACAUGUACAAAAAUAGUCUCAUCUUGUGCAUAAACAGUUAUAAUGCAUUUUCUUUUCCUCUAAUUGGACCACAGAUGGUUUAUUUUACCUGUACCCAAUACUUCACAUUCAUGUGCAAAGUAGGCUUGGCUGCAAUUUCCCGGGAAACAAGUGGCUGUUGUGUAGCAAUAAAAGUGCCAUGUUCCUUUAAUCUGUCAAGUGAUUUGCCAUUGAUAGAUCUCAAAGCCGCAGAACAGAAAAAAUAAUGAUGAACAAUAAAAAAGAAGUUAAAAAAAUAAACUCUGAUUUUAUUAAUCUAUUUUUUUUUUUUUUUUAAAUUGUUGAAAAUAUGCCCGAUUGACUGUGAGUCCC
rnacentral:lncRNA from 1 species